rnacentral:lncRNA from 1 species
UAUAUAUAUAUAUAUAUAUAUAUUGACAUGUUCUCCAAGUGAUCUUAGCCAUGAGUGUUCAUGGCUUCCCAAACCAUGCUCUUCGGGACUGGAUUCAACAAAAGACCAUUUUUGAACGAGAAUAAAUAAAUUUUUCUUAUCACACACAAAUCAAACCGAAAAAAAUCCUUUUGUUCUCACAGUCUAUUUUUUUCUUUGGAACCCAAAAAAAGAACUCGGUAAGACAUUGGGAUAAUCUCAUAUUUGAUUUGGGUUUUUUGGAUUUGUUUUCAAACUCUCUCCUUAUCUCUCAAUUUCUGUUUUUAAGGGUAUAUUAGUAUUUACAUAUCAAUUUUUUGUUAUAAUUAUCAUAAAUUUAAAAGAGUGGCUAUAGUUCUAUAUGGGGUUCAAAUUUUGGUUAUUUUUCCAAAUUUCUUUUUACAAAAAGAAAUUAAAAAUGAAAAGUAACAAGUAACUAAGCAUAUUGUAGGGUAAAUUACAUAGUAACCCCUUAAGUUUGAGGUCUAUUACAAUCGCAUACAACAACUUCAAAAUAUUUCACUUUCAUACCUCAACUACUAUUUUAUUUCAAUAUAGUACCUUCGUUACAUUUUCCAUCAAUUAAUCUGUUAAAUGCUGACGUGGUUGCCACAUAUAUGCCACGUGGCUACCAAAUGUAUGCCACGUGGCAAAUAAAAAAAAAAAUUUUGAAAAACCCGAAUUUCCAAAAAAAAAAAAAUUGAAACCCAUAUCCCUUAUCCCUCACCCACCCCCCAGCG